AAUGAACGCUGGCGGCGUGCCUAACACAUGCAAGUCGAGCGAGAAAGCUCCUUCGGGAGUAAGUACAGCGGCGGACGGGUGAGAAACGCGUGAGAAUUUACCCUUUAGUGAAGAAUACCUCUGAGAAAUCGGAGUUAAUACUGCAUACGUCUCUUCGAAGAGAAAGGUGGCCUCUUGCUGCCGCUAAAGGAUGAGCUUGCGUACUAUUAGCUAGUUGGUGGGGUAAAGGCCUACCAAGGCGAUGAUGGUUAGCCGGCCUGAGAGGGUGUACGGCCACACUGGAACUUAGACACGGUCCAGACUCCUACGGGAGGCAGCAGUGGGGAAUAUUGCGCAAUGGGCGAAAGCCUGACGCAGCGACGCCGCGUGGAGGAUGAAGGUCUUCGGAUUGUAAACUUCUGUUAAGUGGGAAGAAAUACUUAUCAUUAAUACCGGUAGGGGAUGACUGUACCAUUAGAGAAAGCACCGGCUAACUUCGUGCCAGCAGCCGCAGUAA
rnacentral:rRNA from 1 species